UUGGAACUGUGGAUGAAGAAGGAAUUUGGAGCAGGGGCAGGAUUCCAGAUGCUUCCAGGAAGAGAAAAAAGGUUUCUUCAAAGGUCUGGCUACUGAGGUAUGGAUUCUGUGUGUGUAGAUGGGAUCUGCUUUUGGACCGUCCCCCUGAAUACCUCAUUCCAUUCUCAAACAGACAUCUGCAUUGGUGUGUACAGCUCCAUGUUCAGCAGAGGCAGACAUCAGAGGUUUGGAGAAAUCUGGGCACAGACUGAAUAAAAAGAAGAAGGCGAGCUGGGCACCAGCAUUCAUCUACGUCUGCCUCCUGAGUGUGGGGGACAACGCGAUCAGAUGCAUCAGGUUCCUCCCACAGCGACUCUGCUGCCUUGAUGGACCCAACUCUCAAACUGAGUCGAAGGAAGACCCUUCCUCCUUAAGUUGUUCUGCAGGCUUCCUGUGUGGGCUUUGCCGUGAAGGACCAUCCUUGGACACCUUCUGUGCUUCAAGGAUCCUAGGAGGAAGAUGGGAAGCUCCAGAAUCCUGGACUGAGUUGAUGUUUUGGCUCACACUCAUUUACGGUGGUAAGG